rnacentral:rRNA from 1 species
GAAUUCGCCCUUUUCCGGUUGAUCCUGCCGGACCUGACUGCUAUCGGAUUGAUACUAAGCCAUGCGAGUCAUUGUAGCAAUACAAGGCAGACGGCUCAGUAACGCGUAGUCAAUCUACCCUAUGGACGGGGAUAACCUCGGGAAACUGAGAAUAAUACCCGACAGAACAUUAUGCCUGGAAUGGUUUAUGUUUUAAAUGAUUUAUCGCCGUAGGAUGGGACUGCGGCCUAUCAGUUUGUUGGUGAGGUAAUGGCCCACCAAGACUAUUACAGGUACGGGCUCUGAGAGGAGUGGCCCGGAGAUGGGUACUGAGACAUGGACCCAGGCCCUAUGGGGCGCAGCAGGCGAGAAAACUUUGCAAUGUGCGAAAGCACGACAAGGUUAAUCCGAGUGGUUUCUGCUAAAGAAACCUUUUGUUAGUCCUAGAAACACUGACGAAUAAGGGGUGGGCAAGUUCUGGUGUCAGCCGCCGCGGUAAAACCAGCACCUCAAGUGGUCAUGAUGAUUAUUGGGCCUAAAGCAUCCGUAGCUUGCUUUGUAAGUUCUCGGUUAAAUCCAUACGCUUAACGUAUGGGCUGCCGGUAAUACUGCAAAGCUAGGGAGUGGGAGAGGUAGACGGUACUCGGUAGGAAGGGGUAAAAUCCUUUGAUCUAUUGAUGACCACCUGUGGCGAAGGCGGUCUACCAGAACACGUCCGACGGUGAGGGAUGAAAGCUGGGGGAGCAAACCGGAUUAGAUACCCGGGUAGUCCCAGCUGUAAACUAUGCAAACUCAGUGAUGCAUUGGCUUGUGGCCAAUGCAGUGCUGCAGGGAAGCCGUUAAGUUUGCCGCCUGGGAAGUACGUACGUAAGUAUGAAACUUAAAGGAAUUGGCGGGA